rnacentral:tRNA from 1 species
GGAAGAGUGGCAGAGUGGCCUAAUGCGUCUGUCUUGAAAACAGAAGUACCGAAAGGUACCGGGGGUUCGAAUCCCUCCUCUUCCG